AAAUCUGAGGCACUGGGCCAGGAAAUGAAUGAUGAAGGUGAAUGCUACCAAUGAAGCACCUAUCAACCUGUAUGGUAUGAAGGAAAAGCAUUCUGAGGUGAUAAAAAGGUGUUACAUUGUGUGACACAGAGAUUGGAAAGCUGCAGUACAUACAUAAGAUGAAGCAUUCAAACAGAACUGAGAAACUCUGAAUUUGAGGACAUCAGCUGGAGCCCCUCUCUUUUACCCAGUGUGGCUCUGGGAUUUUACCUCUGUCGUGUCGUGCACAGUGAGAUAAGGACAGGAAGAGUCCCCUCAUCUGGCUUUCAGGACUGGACAAAGACAUCCCACAUUACAGCUGAAGGAGAGUGAUACCUCUACUGUAGGAGUACUCUCAAGAACAAGAAUUUCUGCUCAUAUUGGGACAUUCCUGUAUUCUAAAAAUUACCACAGAUGAAAUUAGCUGGACAGCAGACCUCAGCUGCAGAGCCUCAGGGCAGAAAAGGUUCCAGAAACCCCAUGGAUGGAUGGACAGCUGGUUGAAAGAAGUCAGGUGGAUCCGUAUUAAAGUAGCUUUGAUUCAGUCACACAUGCAUAUGAUGAGAGCAUACACCACAUAGGCAUACACACCCAGACAUAUGCUGCAUGUAUACUCCUGCCUAGCACUGCAUGUUCCACUGCCAUUGUGUCCUAGG
rnacentral:lncRNA from 1 species